rnacentral:rRNA from 1 species
ACACGCUGGCGGCGUGCCUAAACACAUGCAAGUCAACUUGACUGAAGGAGCAAUCUGACAGUAGAGUGGCGCAAGGGUGCGUAACGCGUAAGUAACUUGCCCCAAGGUAAGGAAUAACGUCGAGAAAUCGGCGCUAAUACCUCAUAAUGCAGCGGAUCCGCAUGGAUAUGUUGUUAAAGGUUUACCGCCUUGGGAUAGGCUUGCGUCUGAUUAGCUAGUUGGUGUGGUAACGGCACACCAAGGCUACGAUCAGUAACUGGUCUGAGAGGAUGAUCAGUCACACUGGAACUGAGACACGGUCCAGACUCCUACGGGAGGCAGCAGUGAGGAAUAUUGGGCAAUGCUCGAAAGAGUGACCCAGCAACGCCGCGUGGAGGAUGAAGGUAUUCUAUAUCGUAAACUCCUGUGAGAGCAGACGAAAGACAGAUUAUUAAUCUGGAUGACUGUAUGCUCAGAGGAAGCCCCGGCUAACUACGUG